CGAGGGGGGCAAGUGUGUUCGGAAUCACUGGGCGUAAAGGGAGCGUAGGCGGAUGCUUAAGUUGGAUGUUUAAAACCGGGGCCAACCCCGGGGCGGCAUCCGAAAACUGGGCAUCUUGAAUGGAACAGAGGCUAGUGGAAUUGGGGGUGUAGCGGUGGAAUGCGUAGAGAUCCCCAAGAACACCAAUUGCGAAGGCAGCUAGCUGGGUUCACAUUGACGCUGAGGCUCGAAAGCAUGGGGAGCAAACAGGAUUAGAUACCCUGGUAGUCCAUGCCGUAAACGAUGAACACUAGGUUUCGGACUCGUCAACGGUUCGGAGCCGCAGCUAACGCGUUAAGUGUUCCGCCUGGGGAAUACGGUCGCAAGACUG
rnacentral:rRNA from 1 species